ACCCUUGUGGAGGAGGACGCCGAAGGUGGGGCUAAUGACUGGGGUGAAGUCGUAACAAGGUAGCCGUACCGGAAGGUGCGGCUGGAUCACCUCCUAACAGGGAGACAACAAAAUGUUUAAUAUUAUUAUUUUGUCACCUUAGGUCGAUCGGUAUCUCACGUUCUUAAUUUGUUAAGAAUUUCAUUUCCUAAGUUUUUCUAGGUCACACCCAUUAUUUUCCUGGGCCAUUAGCUCAGGUGGUUAGAGCGCACCCCUGAUAAGGGUGAGGUCCCUGGUUCAAGUCCAGGAUGGCCCAUAUCUCUAUGUUGGGGGUAUAGCUCAGUUGGUAGAGCGCCUGCUUUGCAAGCAGGAUGUCAGCGGUUCGAGUCCGCUUACCUCCACUGAUUACCACCUCUUCCAUAACCGGUAGAAAGGAAAUGUUUUGAGUUGUGAUCAUUAUUCUGAACGAAUCUAGCUUCCUAAUGAAAUCAUUAAGAUGCUGGACUCAUUGAAUUAAUUUCAUUGUUUUCAGAGAACCUUGACAACUGCAUAGAUUUUUUUAAAGACAAUAAGCAUCUUUAAUGAUGCAGAUUUAUUAUUUGUGCGAAUGCAUUAAUAACAAUUCUAUUAAGCUGAUGCUUCAAUUUUGAAGUUAUUGGUCAAGCUACAAAGGGCUCACGGAGGAUACCUAGGCACAC
rnacentral:misc_RNA from 1 species